GGGGAUGUAGCUCAGUGGUAGAGUGCAUGCUAAGCCCUGGGUUCAAUCCCCAGUAUCAGCA
rnacentral:tRNA from 1 species